CCAGGAUGUUGGCUUAGAAGCAGCCAUCAUUUAAAGAAAGCGUAAUAGCUCACUGGUCGAGUCGGCCUGCGCGGAAGAUGUAACGGGGCUAAACCAUGCACCGAAGCUGCGGCAGCGAACGUAUCACUUAAAGCGAUUCAGCGGGUUACGAUUGACGGAGCGAAGCGACGUCAAAGCGUAUACAAAGUCGAGUCGGUUUAAGGAUACGUUCGUUGGGUAGGGGAGCGUUCUGUAAGCCUGUGAAGGUGGCCUGUGAGGGUUGCUGGAGGUAUCAGAAGUGCGAAUGCUGACAUAAGUAACGAUAAAGCGGGUGAAAAGCCCGCUCGCC
rnacentral:rRNA from 2 species